ACCAAUAACAUGGUUUCUUGCCGAACCGGUUCAACCUGAUUCUAACCAAAUAAACUAAUGUCUAGAUUACAGGACAUUCUGGGGUUACAGAACUAUCUGCUAAAACAACUUAGACCCACUCAGCCUUUAGAUGUUCUUCAGGACAAUAAUCCUUUGUUCUUCAAAUUUCAAUGUUUUGCAAAACAGUAAUAAGUAUAAAUAAAAAAUAUAGGGAAUUUUCUAGAUUAAAAGAGGCGAAAGAGAAAUAAAAUCCAAAUGAACUGAAUAAAAUUUGAUCAGAUUCUUGUCCAAUACAAAAACCAUCAAAAACAGUAUUUUUGAAUAAUUGGAAAAUUUAAAUAUAGUUCUUGGUAUUACAAAUUAUGAAGGAAUUAUGGUUGUUAUUCAAAGAUUAAAAUGGUAUUGGGUUACUGUAGGGGACUAUUAUAUUUUUAUGCAUGGAUUGUCAUCAUGUAUAUAAUUUGCUUUCAAUAAAUGAGCAGAAAAAACAUGUAUAUAUAUAAAUAGAUCAAUGGAUAAAUAUAGCAAAGAGCUAAAAGAUACUGAGCAUGAAAAGCAGGCUACUGAAUUCUAACAAUUUUAAACAAGAUUGAUGUAAGUUUUUAUGUAAGAAAAGCCUGAAACAGAAUUUAAGAAACAUGCCAACUUUUACCUGUCUGGACAUGGCAGAUGUGGCUUUGAAAUGCUGUCCAAAUCUCUCUGUCUGUCCAAAUCCUGUGAUCUUUCCAGUGUUCUUCUCUACGGGGAGCUGCUCUCCCAGACUUUGUCUUUACUGUCACCACUUGCUAUUUCCAUCCUUCUUUCUACCUCAUUUGUCACUCAGAUAAUAGGACACCGUCCCCAAGUCUUUCCUCAUUAGCUUUCAAGAUGAGGGUCAUUUGUAUAUACUUUCAUCUUUUGAUACAUCCACAGACAUACAUGUAAGUUCCCCUAAGCACUACAAAGGCAAACAGAAAUGAUUAUAUAUGCAGCAGACACUAUCUAUUUCUCAAAUAAUUAGAUUUUUAUUUUAUUAUAUAGAAAUUAUUUUUAUGGGAAUAAAUAAUGCCUUAAACAUAUGGAUGUAGGGUGACUUUUACAACUCAAUCACUCUGAUUUAUUCAAUAGACACUUUCCUAACCAAGACUCUCAACUCGUAAGAACGUGGUCAAGGUAUAUGCAACCAGUCUUGGAUAGAAAGUGGGGGCCAAUCUCUGACAUCCCAAAGAUUAGAGAAAUUAUGUGUUGAUGAUAUUCCAAGGAAAGAUGAGAACUUUUGCCAUAAUUCGGUACUUCUAACUCUGAGAAGCAAAAGCCUUUGCCAUGAAUAAGCAGGUUUUGCUUCUCUUAGCACAUGACAUUCAAAUUUGUUAUAUCAACAGAUGCUUUU
rnacentral:lncRNA from 1 species